rnacentral:rRNA from 1 species
GAGACGUAUCAGUCGAAGUCAUCGAUUCCAUGCUGCCAAGAAAAGCCCAGCAGCGAGUUGGCAUGGCGCCCGUACCCCAAACCGACACAGGUGGGCGGGUAGAGAAUACCAAGGCGAGCGGGAGAACUAUGGUUAAGGAACUCGGCAAAUUACCUCCGUAACUUCGGAA